UACGUAGGGUGCAAGCGUUAAUCGGAAUUACUGGGCGUAAAGCGUGCGCAGGCGGUGAUGUAAGACAGGUGUGAAAUCCCCGGGCUCAACCUGGGAACUGCAUCUGUGACUGCAUCGCUGGAGCGCGGCAGAGGGGGAUGGAAUUCCGCGUGUAGCAGUGAAAUGCGUAGAUAUGCGGAGGAACACCGAUGGCGAAGGCAAUCCCCUGGGCCUGCACUGACGCUCAUGCACGAAAGCGUGGGGAGCAAACAGG
rnacentral:rRNA from 1 species